ensembl:lncRNA
UGUGUAGGAUCCUUUAGGGUUAAAGUAGUGGGAUGGUGUAGGAUCCUUUAGGGUUAAAGUAGUGGGAUGGUGUUGGAUCCUUUAGGGUUAAAGUAGUGGGAUGGUGUUGGAUCCUUUAGGGUUAAAGUAGUGGGAUGGUGUUGGAUCCUUUAGGGUUAAAGUAGUGGGAUGGUGUAGGAUCCUUUAGGGUUAAAGUAGUGGGAUGGUGUUGGAUCCUUUAGGGUUAAAGUAGUGGGAUGGUGUAGGAUCCUUUAGGGUUAAAGUAGUGGGCUGGGAUGGAUCCUUUAGGGUUAAAGUAGUGGGAUGGGGUGGUGGGUUUGAGGGGAUAGUGUAUAGCUGCAGGGUUAGAUGGUGGUGCAAUUUAAAUUUUUCCUCAUUCCCGUUUUUUGGGGGAGACCAAAAUAUGCCGAAACUGACCUCUGACCUGGGAAAGGCAGC